GCGAGAGUGGCGGAAUUGGCAGACGCGCCGGCCUUAGGAGCCGGUGUCCCCAAAGGACGUGGGGGUUCGAGUCCCCCCUCUCGCA
rnacentral:tRNA from 2 species